GAUGAACGCUAGCGGCAGGCCUAAUACAUGCAAGUCGAACGAGAUCCAGGAGCUUGCUCCUGGUGAAAGUGGCGCACGGGUGCGUAACGCGUAUGCAACCUACCUUAAUCAGGGGGAUAGCCUCUCGAAAGAGAGAUUAACACCGCAUAAAAUCACAAGCUGGCAUCAGCAAAUGAUCAAAUAUUUAUAGGAUUAAGAUG
rnacentral:rRNA from 1 species